AUACGGAGGGUGCAAGCGUUAAUCGGAAUUACUGGGCGUAAAGCGCACGCAGGCGGUUGGUUAAGUCAGAUGUGAAAGCCCCGGGCUCAACCUGGGAAUUGCAUUUGAAACUGGCCAACUAGAGUACGUGAGAGGGGGGUAGAAUUCCAAGUGUAGCGGUGGAAUGCGUAGAGAUUUGGAGGAAUACCAGUGGCGAAGGCGGCCCCCUGGCACGAUACUGACGCUCAGGUGCGAAAGCGUGGGGAGCAAACAGGAUUAGAAACCCUAGUAGUCC
rnacentral:rRNA from 1 species